rnacentral:rRNA from 1 species
AUGGCUUCUGGGAACGACUGGUUGGGGUUCUCGCUCUCCGGCCAAGAGAACCCACAGCCGCAUCAGGAUAGCUCGCCGCCCGCCGACAUCGACAUCGCUGGCGCCAGUGGCUUCUAUGGCCUACCCACGCAGCCAGCUCCCGACGCUCAACUCGGUGUGCCAGGUCAUCAUCAGCCUUCAUACGGGAUCACGGAGGCCUUCAAUAGGGGAGCUCAUGAAAUCCACGAUUGGAACAUGAGGGGUGAUCUGGACUACAACGGCGGUGCGUCCGAGCUCUCGAUGCUCGUCGGGUCGAGCGCAGUUGGCGGCAAGAGGGCGGCCAUGGAGGCCGAGACCGAGCCCAAGCUUGAGGACUUCCUCGUUGGCAACUCGUUCGUCUCCGAGCAAGAUCAGGCCGGUGGCUUCUUGUUCUCCGGUGUCCCGAUGGCGACCAGCACCAACAGCAACAGCAGGAGCAACACCAUGGAGCUCUCUAUGAUCAAGAGCUGGCUCCGUGACAACCAGGUACCCCAAGCGCCGCACCCGCAGUCGCAGACCGGGGCGCCCGCGCAGCAGCCGCAACCCCACGAGGAGAUGGGCACCGACGCGAGCAGCUUCGAUCCGCUGGGGAGAAACGGCGCGUUGGUGGUGGCGGGGAGCUCGCAGAGCCUGGCGCUCUCGAUGAGCACGGGCUCAGGAUCGCACUUGCCGAUGGCUGUGCUCGGCGGCAGUCCCAGUGGGGGAGUCUCAGAGAGCACCUCCUCGGAGAACAAGCGGGCCAGCGGCGCCAUGGAUUCGCCGGGCGGUGCGGUAGAAGCUGUCGCGAGGAAGUCCAUCGACACAUUCGGGCAAAGGACGUCGAUAUAUCGAGGUGUAACAAGACAUAGAUGGACAGGGCGUUAUGAGGCUCAUCUCUGGGACAAUAGCUGCAGAAGAGAAGGGCAGAGUCGCAAGGGUAGGCAAGUUUAUCUGGGUGGCUAUGACAAGGAGGACAAGGCAGCAAGGGCUUAUGAUUUGGCAGCACUCAAGUAUUGGGGUACAACAACAACAACAAAUUUCCCAAUUAAUACCUACGAAAAAGAGGUGGAUGAAAUGAAACAUAUGACUAGGCAGGAAUACAUCGCAUACCUAAGAAGGAAUAGCAGCGGAUUUUCCCGUGGUGCGUCAAAAUAUCGUGGUGUAACUAGGCACCAUCAGCAUGGGAGAUGGCAAGCAAGAAUUGGGAGGGUUGCAGGAAACAAGGAUCUCUACUUAGGCACCUUCAGCACCGAGGAGGAGGCGGCGGAGGCCUACGACAUCGCGGCGAUCAAGUUCCGUGGGCUGAACGCCGUCACCAACUUCGACAUGAGUCGCUACGACGUCAAGACCAUCCUCGAGAGCAGCACCCUGCCGGUGGGUGGCGCGGCGAGGCGCCCCAAGGAGGUCGCUGAUCAUCCAGAGGCUGGCGCCACGAUCUGGCGGGCCGGCAUGGACGGCGGCGUCAUCUCCCAGCUGACCGACGUCGGGAUGGGCACGUACGCGUCGUACCACCACGGCUGGCCAACCAUCGCAUUCCAGCAGCCCUCGCCGCUGUCGGUGCACUACCCAUACGUCGCCCAGCCGUCUCGCGGGUGGUGCAAGCCCGAGCAGGACGCCAGCGUCGCCACGCAAAGCCUGCAGGACCUCCAGCAGCUGCACCUCGGGACCGCCGCUCACAACUAUUUCCAGGCAUCGUCGAGCUCCACGGUCUACAACGGCGGCGGGUACCAGCAAGGCACCAGUGGCAACGCCUUCUUGAUGCCGGCUAGCACCGUGGUGGAUGAACAGGGGCACAGCAGCACUGCCACCAACCAGGGAAGCACAUGCAGCUACGGGGACGAAGAGGGGAAGCUCAAUCUCGGGUACGAUGCCAUGGCGAUGGCGAGCACCGGCGCCGACCCAUACGCGGCGGCGCCAACUGUGAGCAUUGCGAGGGCGAACGGGUACUCCAACAACUGGAGCUCGCCGUUCAAUGGCAUGUGA